GCCGGGUGUGGUGAGACACAUCUGUAAUCCCAGCAGCUCAGGAGGCUGAGGCAGGAGGAUCCAGAGUUCAAAGCCAGCCUCAGCAAAAGCAAGGCACUAAGCAAUUCAUCGAGACCCUGUCUCUC
rnacentral:sRNA from 1 species